AUUGAACGCUGGCGGCAUGCCUUACACAUGCAAGUCGAACGGUAACAGGUCUUCGGAUGCUGACGAGUGGCGAACGGGUGAGUAAUACAUCGGAACGUGCCUAGUAGUGGGGGAUAACUACUCGAAAGAGUGGCUAAUACCGCAUGAGAUCUACGGAUGAAAGCAGGGGAUCGCAAGACCUUGUGCUACAAGAGCGGCCGAUGGCAGAUUAGGUAGUUGGUGGGAUAAAAGCUUACCAAGCCGACGAUCUGUAGCUGGUCUGAGAGGACGAUCAGCCAAACUGGGACUGAGACACGGCCCAGACGCCUACGGGAGGCAGGAGUGGGGAAUUUUGGACAAUGGGCGCAAGCCUGAUCCAGCAAUGCCGCGUGCAGGAUGAAGGCCUUCGGGUUGUAAACUGCUUUUGUACGGAACGAAAAGCCCUGGGUUAAUACCCUGGGGUCAUGACGGUACCGUAAGAAUAAGCACCGGCUAACUACGUGCCAGCCGCCGCGGUAA
rnacentral:rRNA from 1 species